rnacentral:rRNA from 1 species
UCGAACCUAAUCCGGAAAGGAACAACUCGUGAACGUGUUAACACACAUGCGCUGCGCGGGGACUCUAACCGGUCGCCGCGCACGCACACUCCGUCGGAUCGCGUGCGGCAGAACGAGCGCACGCUCGUUGGGCCGUAUGCGGUUCGGUCGGAAUUCACCAAACCCCGGCGCGAAAAGCGCCAAGGACCAUUCAACGAAAAGCCAGCUCACUCCGAGUAACGCCGGCGAGGUGUUCAUUCGUGUGGCGCUGCGAUCAUAAGUAGUCUAAAACGACUCUCGGCAACGGAUAUCUCGGCUCUCGCAUCGAUGAAGAACGUAGCGAAAUGCGAUACUUGGUGUGAAUUGCAGAAUCCCGUGAACCAUCGAGUUUUUGAACGCAAGUUGCGCCCCAAGCCGUCAGGCCGAGGGCACGCUUGCCUGGGUGUCACGCAUCGUCAAUCUCCUCCACCCGUCUAAGCUCUAUACGCUGGGGUGGUACUACGGAGAAGGAGAUUGGUCUCCCGUGUGUUACCGCAUGCGGUUGGCCUAAAAUCGAGGUACGGGGGCGUGGAGCUUCCUGACGAGCGGUGGUGUAGAUCAAAAUGCCUCGUGGAAACGUCGGUUGCUUCCGUCCCGCAGGGACUCUAUGACCCUCUUAGCGUCGCUUGCACGAUUCUUCGRACCAUACCACAGRKCAAGCGSG